rnacentral:rRNA from 1 species
UACAGAGGGGGCAAGCGUUGUUCGGAAUUACUGGGCGUAAAGGGCGCGUAGGCGGCCUGCUAAGUCGAACGUGAAAUCCCUGGGCUCAACCCAGGAACUGCGUCCGAUACUGGUUGGCUUGAAUCCGGGAGAGGGACGUGGAAUUCCAGGUGUAGCGGUGAAAUGCGUAGAUAUCUGGAGGAACACCGGUGGCGAAGGCGACGUCCUGGACCGGUAUUGACGCUGAGGCGCGAAAGCUAGGGGAGCGAACGGG